UACGUAGGGUGCAAGCGUUAAUCGGAAUUACUGGGCGUAAAGCGUGCGCAGGCGGUUCGGAAAGAAAGAUGUGAAAUCCCAGGGCUUAACCUUGGAACUGCAUUUUUAACUGCCGGGCUAGAGUAUGUCAGAGGGGGGUAGAAUUCCACGUGUAGCAGUGAAAUGCGUAGAGAUGUGGAGGAACACCGAUGGCGAAGGCAGCCCCCUGGGUCAAGAUUGACGCUCAUGCACGAAAGCGUGGGGAGCAAACAGG
rnacentral:rRNA from 1 species